rnacentral:rRNA from 1 species
CAGCAGCCGCGGGAAUACGAAGGGGGCUAGCGUUGUUCGGAAUUACUGGGCGUAAAGGGCGCGUAGGCGGCCAUUCAAGUUAGAUGUGAAAGCCCUGGGCUCAACCUAGGAAUUGCAUUUGAUACUGUUUGGCUUGAGUUCGGGAGAGGUGAGUGGAAUUCCCAGUGUAGAGGUGAAAUUCGUAGAUAUUGGGAAGAACACCAGUGGCGAAGGCGGCUCACUGGACCGACACUGACGCUGAGGCGCGGAAGCGUGGGGAGCAAACAGGAUUAGAUACCCGCGUAGUCCCUGUCUCUUAUAC